rnacentral:rRNA from 1 species
CCUUACACAUGCAAGUCGAACGGUAACAGCACUUCGGUGGCUGACGAGUGGCGGACGGGUGAGUAAUACAUCGGAACGUGCCCGAUCGUGGGGGAUAACUACUCGAAAGAGUGGCUAAUACCGCAUACGAUCUACGGAUGAAAGCGGGGGAUCGCAAGACCUCGCGCGGACGGAGCGGCCGAUGGCAGAUUAGGUAGUUGGUGGGAUAAAAGCUUACCAAGCCGACGAUCUGUAGCUGGUCUGAGAGGACGACCAGCCACACUGGGACUGAGACACGGCCCAGACUCCUACGGGAGGCAGCAGUGGGGAAUUUUGGACAAUGGGGGAAACCCUGAUCCAGCCAUGCCGCGUGCAGGAUGAAGGCCUUCGGGUUGUAAACUGCUUUUGUACGGAACGAAAAGACUCUUUCUAAUACAGAGGGUCCAUGACGGUACCGUAAGAAUAAGCACCGGCUAACUACGUGCCAGCAGCCGCGGUAAUACGUAGGGUGCAAGCGUUAAUCGGAAUUACUGGGCGUAAAGCGUGCGCAGGCGGUUAUAUAAGACAGAUGUGAAAUCCCCGGGCUCAACCUGGGAACUGCAUUAGUGACUGUAUAGCUGGAGUGCGGCAGAGGGGGAUGGA